CACCUGAUUGAUUUGGUCGCAACGAGUGGCGGACGGGUGAGUAACACGUAGGUAACCUGCCCAGAAGCGGGGACAACAUUUGGAAACAGAUGCUAAUACCGCAUAACAACGUUGUUCGCAUGAACAACGCUUAAAAGAUGGCUUCUCGCUAUCACUUUGGAUGGACCUGCGGUGCAUUAGCUUGUUGGUGGGGUAACGGCCUACCAAGGCGAUGAUGCAUAGCCGAUUGAGAGACUGAUCGGCCACAAUGGGACUGAGACACGGCCCAUACUCCUACGGGAGGCAGCAGUAGGGAAUCUUCCACAAUGGGCGCAAGCCUGAUGGAGCAACACCGCGUGAGUGAAGAAGGGUUUCGGCUCGUAAAGCUCUGUUGUUAAAGAAGAACACGUAUGAGAGUAACUGUUCUACGUUGACGGUAUUUAACCAGAAAGUCACGGCUAACUACGUGCCAGCAGCCGCGGUAAUACGUAGGUGGCAAGCGUUAUCCGGAUUUAUUGGGCGUAAAGAGAGUGCAGGCGGUUUUUAAGUCUGAUGUGAAAGCCUUCGGCUUAACCGGAGAAGUGCAUCGGAAACUGGAUAACUUAGUGCNGAA
rnacentral:rRNA from 2 species